GCAGCACAGGUGUUAAUGGUUGCAUUCCUGACUUCCAAUCAGGACGACAGAGUUCGAGUCUCUGGUGCUGCU
rnacentral:tRNA from 1 species